AACUUUCAACAACGGAUCUCUUGGCUCUCGCAUCGAUGAAGAAUGCAGCGAAAUGCGAUAAGUAAUGUGAAUUGCAGAAUUCAGUGAAUCAUCGAAUCUUUGAACGCACCUUGCGCCCUUUGGUAUUCCGAAGGGCAUGCCUGUUUGAGUGUCA
rnacentral:rRNA from 1 species